ensembl:lncRNA
CGCACAUGACCUGUAAGUGCUUGUUUGCUGAAUUCACUGCUUGACAAUCACAAGUAAGGAUGCCGUUCCACUCGAAAAUCAAGAUUAUUAAUAAGAGCUGGAAAAGAUAUGAACAUAUUGCCAGCACGUUUUGAAAGUGUCUCAUUGAUGAACUCUGCUUCAGUCCACACAGUAAAGACAAACUGGGGCUGAUCUGACCUGCUGAUGAGAUCCUCUGUGAAGCGUCACUGAUGUCACUUCCUGUAAGGCGGAGUCAGUCGGAGGAUGAAUUCUGCAUCAUAACUUCACCUGCAGACUGAAGGAAACAAACAGACACCAUCAGAAACAUGAUUGUUUGGGGGGGGGGCAUCAAUCCUAUCUCUGGUUUUUAUGAUCUCAUUGUUUUUUUUCCUGACUUUGAGUGUAGAAAACUAAACCACUGUGGAUAUUUGCUGCAGAAGCACUUUAAACCAGGUAAGUGAAUCUAGAAAAUACCUGAUUCUGUAAUUAAUACUGUAAAGCUGUAACUCAUCAUUGUGUGCUCGGGUAAAGCUGAAUGUUUGUUGAUCUUCAAUAAAGCGUUGAAGCACUUU